rnacentral:rRNA from 1 species
CCUACGGGGGGCAGCAGUGAGGAAUAUUGGUCAAUGGGCGGAAGCCUGAACCAGCCAAGUAGCGUGCAGGAUGACGGCCCUACGGGUUGUAAACUGCUUUUAUACGGGAAUAACGCGCCUUACGUGUAGGGCUUUGCAUGUACCGUAUGAAUAAGGACCGGCUAAUUCCGUGCCAGCAGCCGCGGUAAUACGGGAGGUCCCGGCGUUAUCCGGAUUUAUUGGGGUUAAAGGGAGCGUAGGCCGCAUGUCAAGCGUGCUGUGAAAUGUCCGGGCUCAACCCGGGCCUUGCAGCGCGAACUGGCGUGCUUGAGUGCGAGGAAAGCAGGCGGAAUUCGUCGUGUAGCGGUGAAAUGCUUAGAUAUGACGAAGAACCCCGAUUGCGAAGGCAGUUUGCUGCAGCGGAACUGACGCUGAUGCUCGAAAGCGCGGGUAUCGAACAGGAUUAGAUACCCGUGUAGUC